rnacentral:rRNA from 1 species
UAGGAAUCUGCCCAUUUGUGGGGGAUAACCCGGCGAAAGCCAGGCUAAUACCGCAUACGCUCUACGGAGGAAAGCGGGGGAUCGUAAAACCUCGCGCUAAUGGAUGAGCCUACGUCGGAUUAGCUAGUUGGUGGGGUAACGGCCUACCAAGGCGACGAUCCGUAGCUGGUCUGAGAGGACGAUCAGCCACACUGGGACUGAGACACGGCCCAGACUCCUACGGGAGGCAG